GUUCACUCCCUCCGGAGAGUUACUGCGCACCUACUGAUGAGGCGGAUUCUGCUCCGGAAACGAAAACAGACCAAGUCCCCGGCCAGCUCCGGAGGCCAGAAGUUCAAACUCAAAGUGUCGGCAGGGCCAUGACCCCUCCAGGGGCCUGUCUCCCUCCAGCUUCUGGUGCUGCGAGAAAUCCUUGGGACACGCGGCCUGCGUCCCCUCUUGUGCAAACUCCCGUCCCUGGACUCAGGGCCCGUCCAGUCAAUCCAAGAUGCUCGAGUUCCUCACGUGUGCAGAGACCUCCCUUCCAGAUACGCCAGGAUGAGCGUCGGUGCUGAGUCCUGCCGUGGUCUCCCCUCCCCGCUGGACGGGAGCGCUCAGGAUACGGGGGGCCUGCGUGAUACGCCCUCCAUCCUGAUACGCCCAGAGGCCUCUGCGCAGCAAGGACCACCUCGUGCGGGCACUUUGAUCCCAAGAGAGGACGGAGGAGCCCCAUCCAGCAGCACAGGAAGAGGACCCGAGAGAAGUGGCCGUGGGGCGGACCUGAGCACGGGAGACAAGGAGGAGCCAGCGGCCGAGCUGGUGCGGAGGCGGACGCGGCUCCUGGUCCUGCGCACGGAGCCCCCGGGGACAGACCGUCCACGGGCUGGCACCCUCACCCUGGUGCCUGAGAGGCGAAUGCACCCAGACGGGCACAGGUCGGCAGGAAGAGCCACUCUGCCAGGAUGGCAGCCUACAU